UACGGAGGGCGCAAGCGUUGUUCGGAAUCACCGGGCGUAAAGCGCGUGUAGGCGGCUUUGCAAGUCGGGUGUGAAAUCCCGAGGCUCAACCUCGGAACUGCACUCGAUACUGCUUGGCUGGAGUACCGGAGAGGGGGGCGGAAUUCCCGGUGUAGGGGUGAAAUCCGUAGAUAUCCGGAGGAACAUCAGUGGCGAAGGCGACUCGCUGGAUGCUGGCUGACGCUGAGAUGCGAAAGCGUGGGGAGCAAACAGG
rnacentral:rRNA from 1 species